rnacentral:rRNA from 1 species
CUAGACUCCUACGGGAGGCAGCAGUGGGGAAUAUUGCACAAUGGGGGGAACCCUGAUGCAGCGACGCCGCGUGAGUGAAGAAGUAUUUCGGUAUGUAAAGCUCUAUCAGCAGGGAAGAAGAUGACGGUACCUGACUAAGAAGCCCCGGCUAACUACGUGCCAGCAGCCGCGGUAAUACGUAGGGGGCAAGCGUUAUCCGGAUUUACUGGGUGUAAAGGGAGCGUAGACGGCAGCGCAAGUCUGAAGUGAAAUGCCGGGGCUUAACCCCGGAACUGCUUUGGAAACUGUGCAGCUAGAGUGCAGGAGAGGUAAGUGGAAUUCCUAGCGUAGCGGUGAAAUGCGUAGAUAUCACGAAGAACCCCGAUUGCGAAGGCAGCUUACUAAACUGUGACUGACAUUGAUGCUCGAAAGUGUGGGUAUCAAACAGGAUUAGAUACCCUAGUA